rnacentral:rRNA from 1 species
UACAGAGGGUGCAAGCGUUAAUCGGAAUUACUGGGCGUAAAGCGCGCGUAGGUGGUUUGUUAAGUUGGAUGUGAAAUCCCCGGGCUCAACCUGGGAACUGCAUUCAAAAACUGACAAGCUAGAGUAUGGUAGAGGGUGGUGGAAUUUCCUGUGUAGCGGUGAAAUGCGUAGAUAUAGGAAGGAACACCAGUGGCGAAGCGACCACCUGGACUGAUACUGACACUGAGGUGCGAAAGCGUGGGGAGCAAACAGG